GCCCAGUGACAACUGUUUAACGGCCGCGGUAUCCUGACCGUGCAAAGGUAGCAUAAUCAUUUGUUCUCUAAAUAAGGACUUGUAUGAAUGGCCGCACGAGGGUUUUACUGUCUCUUACUUCCAAUCAGUGAAAUUGACCUUCCCGUGAAGAGGCGGGAAUGCACAAAUAAGACGAGAAGACCCUAUGGAGCUUUAACUAACCAACCCAAAGAGAAUAGAUUUAACCAUUAAGGAAUAACAACAAUCUCCAUGAGUUGGUAGUUUCGGUUGGGGUGACCUCGGAGAAUAAAAAAUCCUCCGAGCGAUUUUAAAGACUAGACCCACAAGUCAAAUCACUCUAUCGCUCAUUGAUCCAAAAACUUGAUCAACGGAACAAGUUACCCUAGGGAUAACAGCGCAAUCCUAUUCAAGAGUCCAUAUCGACAAUAGGGUUUACGACCUCGAUGUUGGAUCAGGACAUCCUGAUGGUGCAACCGCUAUCAAAGGUUCGUUUGUUCAACGAUUAAAGUCCUACGUGAUCUG
rnacentral:rRNA from 1 species